GACCGGUCCAGAGUCGCUGAGAUAAUCAGAACUGCAGAUACCAGAGACUCCGAGAUAACACGGUGUGCAGCUGGAUGAACACAGCAGGUCAAGCAGCAUCAGAGGAGCAGGAAAGCUGACGUUUCGGGCCUAGCUCCUUCGCUGAGACCAAGAUUUGUGCAAUUGAGAUGCCAGCGAUCGUUGCCAAAGCCCUGUUGCCUGUGGAGAAGGUGAUGUUUAACUUUCGUGUCCUGCUGCAGUUCGCACGAUGAAGGUGCUCCCACAAUGCGGUCAUUUGAGAAGUUACAGAUCGGUCAUCUAGCGAUACUGAAGAGCUGAUGGAUAUUACAAGUGGACUUUCAGGUGGGAAGCUCAAUAAUUAUAACACCAAACUGACUGAAUUACUCACUUCUUCAGGAUCUGGAUAUUCGCAUUGUGUAUUUCCACAAUUUUACUUCUGCACCAUUAUUCGUCUUUGAAGGAUCGAAAGGUUGAGUUACAGAUCUAUACAAUGCCUGUCCUUCCUCCCUGGCUCUCCCACCUCUCUCUCUUUUGGUAGUUUUGUGCAAACAUUGACUGGAUCCUUUACCUGGAGGAUAUUUAUGAAUUGAAUUUGUUCUAAUGAUAAUCCAGAAUAUUCCCCAAGUAUCGCUCCACAAAUGUCCAGAGAAUUUCUCAGUUUCACAAUCUGUGUUCGUCUGGUUUCUUAUUCACUGCACUUAGUUGCUGUUUGAAAGUAUAGUUGGACAAACUGGCAGAAAGCCAGCCACCACGAUACAUGAACAUCAACUAGCCACAAAACGACAUGACCCACUGUCACUCUAUCCUUCCAUACAGACAAGGAAGGACACCACUUUGAUUGGGAUAACACAUCCAUCCUAGGACAAGCCAAACGGAGACACUCACGAGAAUUCCUAGAAGCAUGGCAUUCCAACCGGAACUCCAUCAACAAACACAUUGAUUUGGAGCCAAUCUACCAUCCCCUGAGAAAAAGAACAGGAAAUGACAUCACCAAUGCAGGAAAAGACAUCACCAACCCAAGGCAACCUAACCAGAUAAAUAGAAAGUGGGACGUAACACCAGGGCUUCGUCGGAGGCUCACUGAUGAUGUUACCUAGAAUGGUGACGAAACAUCUGAAAACUAACCUUCCAGCUCAGCGAUCAAACUCACAUCCAGUAUAGUCUGCAGUUGGAGAAUUCGAGCAGUUCCACAUCCAGGUCUGACAGUCACUUUGUUUAUCACAGCCUAAUUUUCUCAGGAUUUUGAACAUUGAAGGAAAAAGCAGCACUCACAUUGGGGAGAAAUGCACACGGUCUGUGUGUCGAAGAGUCUGUAAACAUUCAUCUGAAAUGCCCGCAUACCAGAGUAGUGAUACUGGAGAGAGACUGUGGAAAUAUGCAGAUUGCAGGAAGGAAUUUCUUCAUUUAUCCCAGCUAGAAACUGACCACCAGAGUCACACUGGAGAGAGACCAUUCACCUGCUCUGAUUGUGGAAUGGGAUUCACUCAGUCAUCAAACCUGCUUAAACACCAGAGAGUUCACACUGGAGAGAAACCAUUUACUUGCUCGGAAUGUGGGAAAGCAUUCACUCAGACACUUCAAAUGCUGAUAAACCAGUGAAUCCACAUUGGAGAGAGACUAUUGACCUGUUCUGUGUGUGGAAAAGGUUUUGCCGACUCGAUUCCCUGCUGAUACACCAGCGACUUCACUCUGGGGAGUGACCAUUCUUGAGCUCUGAGUGUGGGAAGGGAUUCACUGUCAUCCAAACAGUUAUCGGUUCAUCCAUAAAGUGGGGCAACAGAGUGCUGCACCUUGCCAGGAGAAAUGCAAGGAAAAUGUGUUCAGGCCUAAAACCUAAACAUUGCGAGUGCUUUACAAAACAGGAUCAAAAUGAUGGUCAAAGCACUCCUAUUGACCAAAAAAGACUUCAGCAAUGUGGAAAAUACACAAUGCAUAUGACUGCAUGGCAACAAAUAAUUGGGAUAAAAAAAUCAUCUUGCAAUACUGGCAGAAAGCAAUGGCAAUUAUUUGGACCAAGCAUGACGAGAGCAACCUGUCCAGGGACUUACCAAAAUCAUUUUGAAUUGUUGUGCUCUGUCCUCCUCUAAUCAGACUCGGAUGAGGCAGCUUUUCUCAUUCUGGCGGUGGUCCCUCUGACGUGUUGCACACCAGCAGCUGCCCAAACCUGCACGCCUACCAGACUUGUCUCUGUCAUAAUUUGGUUUUGCUGGUGCACCACUGUUGGAUGAACCUCCAGAGGAGGCAGUAUCCACGGAUUUUAAUGACUGUGGAAUAAUUAUUUUGUUUAAGAAGACGUUUGUAAAUCUUGCAUAUUAGAAACUUCCCCCUUUCCAGUUAUACUUAUUAUUACACAAAAUAUGCUGUCCUGCUGCCCACAAAGGUGAAGGCAUUCUGCGCAGGACAGCUUAAUUGCAAGAACAUGAUGUUGUACAUGAUUUCUUGGUCGUUGCUGUCUUGUGAAAUUUUUUACUUGCAGUUCUUUCCUCUACCAGGAAAGAUCACUUCUGAGGAAUUAUACUUCUGUUUGUGUUUACGAGCUGUUCAGUCAACAUCAACAAUUCAGUACUUAGCAUGCCCAUAAAUUACUAAUUAGUUUCCCUCAGCACAAUAACAUUGUGGUCAUUUCACUUGACCAUGUAAACUGGUGCUUCAAUUCUAAGUUUGUCAGGUAAACCCUUUGGGGUUUCAGUUUGCACUCAGUAUAUGAACAUGCUUACAUAAAUAUUUAUUUGCCCACUUCACCCUGCUACACACAGAAAUCUUGAAUGCACCUACAAUGUUUGAAGUUAAAACACACAUUUAUGAAGUGUGGGUGACUGCGAAUGGGCCAACAAGUGUAUGGUGCAGGUCAGAAUGUGUGCGGCACAGCACCACUGGCAGAAAGAAAGAGAGAGAUAGCAACAGCAAGACACACAGAGACAGAGAACUAAAGAAACCGGAAGCGAAAUCAUCCAAGUCACUGCAGCUCUCAGUUUAUGAUUAAUAUAGAGGCAGUCACACUAAACAGGGGAAUCUAUAAAAAGGAAGAGAGAUUUUUAAAACAAAAAAUACCACGCCAAAACACCCAAAUGUGACCUAAUAACACUUAGCCCAAUUCAUGGGAGAAUACAUUGCGAAAACAUUCCUGGGACAAGUCCUAGACAGAUUCGAAAACAAUAACCAUAACACAACUCUGAUAAUCAUCCAGAACACAAUGGUCUUUGGCAGAGAACACACUAAUCAACAGCUAAAAGCCCAAAUAUUGAAGAAAAACAAAACGUGCAGUCACGAGGACUCCAUGCAGAGAGCUGCAUUACUUUGUUGCAAUUGCUGGAUCAAGACCUGGCCAACAUACUCUGAAUAAUGUUUUUGUGGGCUGUGCGCUUCAAGCUGCGACAGAUGUACCCCAUUCACUAAAAUUUACUGUGCAGAAAUUAAACAUGCUGUUAAGAAUUAAAGAUGAAAUAUUUUGGUUAUUGAUAUGGCGAUCUUUAAAAAAACAUGUCCAGCUUCCUUUGUACAUUUUUAAAAAUCGUAUAAAAUAUCUAAACAAAACAAAGCAAACCACAUCUGAAAAAAAAAAUCAGCUCUCACUUCAUGAACGAAUAAUACCUUUUCUGGAAUCAAAUGCUUCAGUAAACAGCACAAAGGUUGAAUUUUGAUGGGAAUUGCACAGCUGUCUUGCCUUCGUUCUGAAAGCAAGUAACCCAACUUUGGCAAGUGGGACCUGGGAUGCAAAAUUGCUGGCAGUAGCCAAUUAUGAAGAUGCUUGAUGGAACGGCAUUCAAAUUAAGGAUUUCAGUCUGGCUGAAACAUCAAAAUGGCUAUUAGGCUAAUAGCUCUUAAAAGGAGAAGGAGAUUGGCCAGGCAGUCAUCCAGCUCCAGUGGUUGGGACGGUAUCACUGAGUACCCUUGUGUCCUCUUGAAUGCCAAAGUGUGGUCAGGAUAAUAGAUGGCAGGAAGACAGAAGGAAGGAAAGAAAGAAGAAAAAAAGUGUCUGGCCAUUAUUAAACAAACCAGUGUCUCCAAGAACAACAUAUUUUAUGUGAUGAGUGCCUCACUGUCUCACCUUUUCCAGCGCUUUUUGCGAGGUGCUUGGCUCUUCCAUUUCCAAGUGUCUGGCUGAGGUAAUGCUCUCGUCUGAAUCCUCAUUCUGAAGGGAUGCUGGCUGCUCAGAGCUUUUAGGUGGAGCGCUGUGUACUUUAACACCUCUCCUUGAAAACAGGCUGCACAAGGUAAAGGGGACACACCAAAUAAUGGAAAUGCCAUUGCAUUCUAGACAAACUGUCAAAAGAAAACCUAGCAUGAAGGUACAUUGCUGAUGUGAGUACCAGGAGUUUGAUGUUUGCCACAUUUGACCUGUGAGAAAUUAAUAGUGGCACACUAAUACCAAGAGCUUGCAUCACCCGGAUUGAACAGUGUUACGUUGUCUAAUAGCUAUGGAGUAUAUGAAUAUGUGAUAAAGUUUCCAUAUUCAGAUAGCACAAGAAUCUGGACUUUUUGCAAUGUUAUUCAACCUGCUAUCAACCUAGACCUUAUGAAAGGCAAAAUGUGGAUUUGAAUACCCACAGGUUGGAAAAUUUCCUCCAACCUGGCCACAUGCUAAUGUGUGCAUAAUUUCUUCCUGAAAGCUGCAGUUUGUUAAAAAUAAAACAUAAGACAAAGUAACACCAUUGAUAAUUGAUAGAAAACUGUACACAACACUUUGGAAGGUAGGACAGUGAACUCUGAAUUUGGCCUUCAGUAUAUUGGUACUGCAAAUGUUAGGAUUUCUAUUCAGCAAUUUGCAUUUAUAUUGCAUGAUUCACACAGAAAAUUUUCCAAAACUCCCAAAAGAAGUACAGCAGAUGGCAUGAUAAAAAAUUCCCACACUGAAAAUCCUGAUUGUUGGUAUAUUAGGCAUUAAAUAGUACAGGGAGCAAGAGCAGAUGGCUGAUGAAAUGUGAGAUUGCAGACUAAUGCUGCAAUGUUGAUUGCCUGCACUUCGACAAUCACAGUUAAGCCACGGAAGCCUAAAUCAUAUCCAUGUAACAUCCACACUCAUGUAAAGAGAAGAUAUCCCAGGAAGUGAAUAAGUGUUUCCCUUCUCUUUCUUGGUCUCUAUAUGACAAUAAUCACAUGUCACAGUCCAGAUCGCUGCAAGGCACAACACAGCAACAAGGCCUGGUUUUUUCUCUGAAACUCUACAUGGGUAGGUGGGGGAAAAACCUGACUUUGCUGAGUUCUGGUCAGUCCUUGCCUAUUGAACAGAAAUAUAAGAUAAUAUCCCCAACUCAGGAACAUUACUGAAAACAAUAACUUUGAAGUCUUUACACACGUAUGCACAACGACAAAAACACAUACUUUCAUGUCAACUUCUACAUGGAAAGAGAUUUGAGUUUUGAGGUGGAGUUUCAAAUGUGAGAAGCAUGGUUGAUAAUUUUUCAACAACAGAUAUUUUUGCUGCCUGCUGACCCACAAAGUAGAACACAAAUCUGAUUUUUCACUCAAAAUUGUUAAACAUUGCUAGUUUUCAUUAUAUAGGCCGACAACUAUACAAAUUUAAUUCACUGUAACACCUUUUUUGCUUACUUGUCUCUCAUGAACAAAUUCAAAUUUAGCCAUGGUGUAGAAACUUCUCAGUGGAUAAAUGAGAAUCGCUAGACAAUACCAAGCUCAUCACAGGUCCACAUUCUACAAUCAUGGUCAUAGCAAAGAAUCUCUAUCAAUCAGUCUCCGCUAGACACAUGCACGAGGUGAGAAUAACACCACCACUCCUUGCAUCAUCUCAAAUUACUCGACCAGAGACUUAAAAGAUCCCACUCCAAUGAAACAAUAAUGACCACGCAUCAAAUGACUCAAUUUGUCAAGAAACAGAUGUACUUAUCUUUCUGUCCAAUCAUCCCGAUAAAAAAGGAAAUAAUGAGUUAUCUGAGGUGCUUAACAUGGGAUACUUACCAGCUGAGGCGCUUCAACACACUCUUUUUGGGCUUUGGCGGUUUCUUGAGUUUAGAGGAGCUGCAGGACAGCAGAUAAACAUGUUCAGACAAGAUUCAUUGAAAAAGAAUCAGGUGCCUUUGCUCAAUAUUCUGAAUAUUUUUGGCAAAAUGAAUCAUUUACAUAGAAUUGAAAUUGCAUGAAUGAUAAUUUUGUUUGCAAAAGGCACGUGUUUUCAGGCAAGAGAACACUGAACAUUACUUUGACUGAUGAGCAACAAAAUCUCUUCUGUGGGCACAUCAAUCUUUUCUGCUUUAUGAACAGCAGAUCAAGACAAUAAGAGUUCUGAAGAAGUGUCACCAGACCCGAAAGUUAACUCUGCUUUCUUUCCACAGAUGCUGCCAGACCUGCUGAUUUUUUUCAGCAAUUUCUCUCUGUGUUUUUGAUUCCCAGCAUCUGCGGUUCCUUUGGGUAAUUUUUUUUACCAAGACGAUAACCCCCUCUUUUUACAGAACACGUGGAAUUGAACAAAAUGGUCGAACUUCUGCAGCAGGUACAGAAAAAAAUUAACAAGGACUGGGCUUGAAAAAAGUUAACUGGUAAACAGGAGAAUCAAACUUCCAGUGCCAAAGGUGAUACAAUAGGUUGUAAAGUUAUACAGGAGUUUCUCUGGGCCUCAUCCGCACUGUCAUGUGAAUGUACAGACAAUGUCAAGCAAUGAAAGGUGGCCAUGAAUCAGUCACUUCAGGUGACUAAAACACCACAUGCCACAUCUCGGAGAUAGUAAAAUGAAGGAGUAUAUCUCUUGACCAGGCUUUCUGUUGCUGAUAUUUCCAGACAAUCUGUCUGAAAAUCAACCAAACUAUCCCAGAGGUCCAAAACGACUUUAAAUUUAACUUAUGAUCCAUGCAAAGUGAAUUUUGGUACCAUUUUGUAAUUACUGUUACAAUAAAUACCAGGUUUGAAGUUGGCCCAAUACUGACUGUGCCACUGAUUGAAUUGACGAUAAUGCCAGGUGCUUGCUGCACAUGGUCAUCCAUAGCCUGAGGACGGGCUUAAUAGUGAGCUUUGCUUUUCAAAGCAGGAAUGUAAAUUGAUACAUCAGGUACAUUUUAAAUAGUAACUUCUACCCACCAAUUUACAAAGAAACAAACUGUUUUCAAACAAUGUAAUUAUUACAAAGCCUGCUCUGUCAAAACAAAAAAUCAGUUUCAGUGAUCUAUAAUCUGGUUCCUUCAUCACCUCUGCUCCAGCAAUGGCAAAGUGGGUUUAUUUUUUCAGUUGCAGAUUAUUUUUGGUUGCAUUAUGAAAAAUAUACUGUGGCUAUUUCGAGAUGAGGGAAUGAUGUUUUUAGGCAACCAUAUAAAGGUACUUUAAAAUGCUAAAUUGUGUAGGGUUAUUGUUAAUUUUAUGUUCGUAAUAGGAUUAUGUAUUUGAAAAGAAAUUGGAAGGAAAAGAAACAUUUCUCAAAACUGGUACAAUUUACAUCUGGAUUUGUAGGUGCACCCACAGUAGGAGCUCUUGGACAUGUUGCUAAAAUUGGUCACUCAUCAAGUUUUUUGCAUUUUCCUGCAAUCAUUGGCUUAGUGGUAGUAUACUCUGCACUAUUAUACACCAAUAAAACACAUUUUGAAGCAACACAACAGAAUUGAUUCAUUGAGCAACUGGCUUUAUCCUCAUAGGUCAGAAUUCAUUGUCAAAACUUUGAAACCAAGGAAAAAGAAGACAAUAAAUAAACUGGCAGCUCACUAGCAUUAAACAGCAAAUAUAACGAGAGAAGAUUUCACACACAACACUUAACUGUUUUACCUGCACACUCCUACAAUACCAGUUACGUACUCGCCAUCCUCACUUAAGUAUUGUUGCAUAAAGAACAAGUCUAGAAAAUUCUCGUUUGGACGAAGGGUGUAAGAUGAGCAAGAAAAUUGCAGGGAUUUGAUACCCAAAAUUAUUUCAUAUUCCUGAAAGUACACAAAUAAAUAAUGAACUGUUAAAGCAAGUUUAAACUGCUAUAAUAGUUCCUGCUCAAUCUGAGUCCUUGGUAAUUUGAACAGCAUCGAUAACUUUAUUCA